GAUGAAGAACGCAGCGAAAUGCGAUAAGUAAUGUGAAUUGCAGAAUUCAGUGAAUCAUCGAAUCUUUGAACGCACAUUGCGCCCGCCAGCACUCUGGCGGGCAUGCCUGUCCGAGCGUCAUUUCAACCCUCAGGGCCCCUUCGGGGGACCUGGCGUUGGAGAUCGGCCCGCCCCCGUGCGGCGCCGUCCCCGAAAUAUAGUGGCGGUCUCGCUGCAGCCUCCCCUGCGUAGUAGCACACCUCGCACUGGAGAGCGGCGCGGCCACGCCGUGAAACCCCCAACUUCUGAAUGUUGACCUCGGAUCAGGUAGGAAUACCCGCUGAACUUAAGCAUAUCAAUAAGCGGAGGA
rnacentral:misc_RNA from 1 species